rnacentral:tRNA from 1 species
ACUUAGAUAGUUUAACUUAAAACUCUUCAUUUUCAAUGAAAAAAUAGAUAGAAUCUUGUAAGUU